GACGUGGUGUCACCUCUCUCACAGCUACCACUACCUACAUUCACUCACAAAAAUAUCACCACUCUCUCUUCUCUCUCCUCACUCUCACUCAACGUUACAAAAAAGGGAAAUAAAAUGGAAUUAUUGUUUCCCAUUUAAUACCCACACACACGUUACCACAGACAAAAGAAAACUCUCACAUUAUCUCUCCCUCAGAAUCACCUCAAAAGAAAACCCUUUCUCCACCUCACGUCUCGAACACGCUACUCACUCUCACAAACUCACUCAAAGAAUCCACCACCGUCCAAAUGCCAACUCUUUCUCCCUCUGUUUUCGCCAACAGCCACGAUUUCCACCGUCGGAAAUCGCCCUCUCCUUUCGUGAUUCGCGCCUCAAGAUUCACCCUCAUCCAACCACAACGAACUCCUCCGGUUCAUCCACCACAACUCUCCUCCGCCUGUUCGAUCGUCAAGCUCUCCAUCGCCGUCCAACAACAACACCACUACCGAAGACUUCUUCCUCUUCAUCGUCGUAUCCAUCCACUCAUGAGGUAACCGCUGAAGAUAAACACCAUUUUCAGAUCGCCGGAACUCCACAUGAAAAGUGAGAAGAAUGGUCUCCUGAACAAAAUACGGCGACACUGCCGGUAGAAGCAAAAUCGCACGCAAAUCCAAAAACGCAUCAGCAACUUGUAGCAACGAAGAUCCGCGUUUUGGUAACGACUUCGAGUUUCUUCAAACGUGUCCAUUAUGGUGCUUUAAUUUGAUCUUAAUCAUGUGGUUGUUUUUUUAAGCUGUUACAAAUUUCACUUUUAUAUGUUGUAUUCUGGUUAUCGAAAAGAAGUUGUCCAUAUGCAUUUGUUGUGUAUUUGUCGCUGCAGUAUUGUUAUUAAUCUAUAAUUCUGGAUUCGCUGCAUAAUUUACAUAAUGAUACGCAUGUGCUGUUGUUUUGUGCUGUUGUGAUGUGCUGUUGUGAUGAUUACAUUUUUCAUUUCAAUUACAAUUUUGGUGAAAUCGUAAGUUGUUGAAACUAGUACGAUGAUUAUGGUUGUGCGUUUAUGAUUAUUUCAAUUUCGGUUGUGCAUUUGCUGAGUUAAACUAGUACGAUGAUUAUGGUUGUGCGUUUAUGAUUAUUUCAAUUUCGGUUGUGCAUUUGCUGAGUUGCGGGUCUGGAUCGAUUAUCCGUUUGAAUGUAUAGCUUGUUGGACUUGUAAAUUAAUGUCAACGGUGUUUUUAGUGUUGCUGUUGUUGUUUUUGUGAAAAUUACAUGAUUACCGUAACAUGAUACGUGCCUCUUGGCUGGACGCGUGACUUUAGGAAAAUUGAAAUUAUCAUCACCAUAUAUACUGUUACGGUAACAUUUCCCAUUUGUCAUUAUAUUUCCUAUAGAUUAUAAUAGAAUUGGUUUAUUUUUGUUAAGUUUUAAUUAUUACUGUUAGUAAAGCAUUAUAACAUAAUUUGGUUUGUUUUAAUAAUAGAUUUUUUUAGUUGUUCCAAUAUUAACUUUUAGGAUUGAGUCAUUAUAUGUUUGUAUUAUAUUUGUUAGAAAUAGUUUAUAUUAUGGACCUUCAUUUUGUUUACUACUGUUAUAGUAUUUGUAAUUAAAUAAUUAGGUAGAAG
rnacentral:lncRNA from 1 species